rnacentral:rRNA from 1 species
GUCGAGCGAACAGACGAGGAGCUUGCUUCUCUGACGUUAGCGGCGGACGGGUGAGUAACACGUGGAUAACCUACCUAUAAGACUGGGAUAACUUCGGGAAACCGGAGCUAAUACCGGAUAAUAUAUUGAACCGCAUGGUUCAAUAGUGAAAGACGGUUUUGCUGUCACUUAUAGAUGGAUCCGCGCCGCAUUAGCUAGUUGGUAAGGUAACGGCUUACCAAGGCAACGAUGCGUAGCCGACCUGAGAGGGUGAUCGGCCACACUGGAACUGAGACACGGUCCAGACUCCUACGGGAGGCAGCAGUAGGGAAUCUUCCGCAAUGGGCGAAAGCCUGACGGAGCAACGCCGCGUGAGUGAUGAAGGUCUUCGGAUCGUAAAACUCUGUUAUUAGGGAAGAACAAAUGUGUAAGUAACUAUGCACGUCUUGACGGUACCUAAUCAGAAAGCCACGGCUAACUACGUGCCAGCAGCCGCGGUAAUACGUAGGUGGCAAGCGUUAUCCGGAAUUAUUGGGCGUAAAGCGCGCGUAGGCGGUUUUUUAAGUCUGAUGUGAAAGCCCACGGCUCAACCGUGGAGGGUCAUUGGAAACUGGAAAACUUGAGUGCAGAAGAGGAAAGUGGAAUUCCAUGUGUAGCGGUGAAAUGCGCAGAGAUAUGGAGGAACACCAGUGGCGAA